UCCUAGCCCAGAUAAAAGUGGGAAUCAUUAUGAGUCGUGGUUCGGCGAAUAAGAUUGUAAUGGAUAGCUGGACACGAG
rnacentral:sRNA from 1 species